CUCAAAUAGGUCUGAUAAAAAUCACGGUUUUAAAAAAUUAAAUGUUAACAGAAAACUCCAUUCUCUCUAACUCUUCCCAAAGAUUUUUAGAAGCCAUUCCUACAUUAACUUAAGAACUGUAGCUUCCACUCUUCCUUCACUCCCUACCUAUGGGGCAUGUACAGGAUGUUGGCUUCAGAACAUAUUUGACAGAUGGUUCCCUUAGCCAGGCUAAGAUGCUGUUUUGCCACAAUAGCAGGGGCACCAUGGCAACCAUUCUAGAAGGUUUGUUAAGAGGAGAUGAGCUUAGAAGCACAUUCAUUUGACACACAACUCCUGAACUUCAUUGGUGCCCAUGACUAUUGCCAUUGUUGACUUGCAGCCUUGACCCAGUCCCCUCUGAGGAUGAGAUUCUGUCCUGUUCAUUUCACAAGUCUCCUAGCCCCUUGGCACUUAGUGAAUUUCAUCGGUGUAACGAACAUUUCUUGAGCGAUGUGCCCAACAGUGCUCCACAUUUGGAUACAAAACCUUAAGUGAUGGAUCUCCAGCCUCAGGGAGUUUAGAGUUGCUGAAAGAAUCCGAGCCACCAUCCUGAAAAAUAAAACACUUUCGGGCCCUUUUUCAAAUUA